AGGAGCUCAGUAUUGGGGUUAUCUUGAAACUUCAAUGGUCUUUCAUUCUCACGUAGAGAGGAUUGAUCCAUAUCGUGAGGAGUAGCAGGAGGUCUUAGUAUUGAAGGCUUCCAGUAUGCUCCAAGGCGUGGAAUAGACUAACCUUGUAAGUGUGGUAGGGUGAAACCCAUUGACAAUGACUUUGUAAAGCAGUAAAAGCCAUCAUAAGUGCACAACCCGCC
rnacentral:lncRNA from 1 species